GAUGAACGCUAGCGGGAGGCCUAAUACAUGCAAGUCGAACGGUAACAGGUAGCAAUACGCUGACGAGUGGCGCACGGGUGAGUAACACGUACACAACCUGCCUAUGACUGGGGCAUAACUUCGGGAAACUGAAGCUAAUUCCCCAUAACACUGCAGAAAGGCAUCUUUCAGCAGUUAAAGCCCCGGCGGUCAUAGAUGGGUGUGCGUUUGAUUAGCUAGUUGGUAAGGUAACGGCUUACCAAGGCUACGAUCAAUAACUGGUCUGAGAGGAUGAUCAGUCACACGGGCACUGAGACACGGGCCCGACUCCUACGGGAGGCAGCAGUAGGGAAUAUUGGACAAUGGAGGCAACUCUGAUCCAGCCAUCCCGCGUGAAGGAUUAAGGCCCUAUGGGUUGUAAACUUCUUUUCUCUGGGAAUAAAACCGGGAUUUAUCCUGGCUUGAAGGUACCAGAGGAAUAAGCACCGGCUAACUCCGUGCCAGCA
rnacentral:rRNA from 1 species